CCUACGGGUGGCAGCAGUGAGGAAGAGUGGGCAAUGGAGGAGAGUCGGAACCAGCCAAGUAGCGUGAAGGAUGAAUGCCCUAUGGGUGGUAAACUUCUUUUAUAAAGGAAUAAAACGAGGCACGUGUGCCUUUUUGCAUGUACCUUAUGAAUAAGGAUCGGCUAACUCCGUGCCAGCAGCCGCGGUAAUACGGAGGAUCCGAGCGUUAUCCGGAUUUAUUGGGUUUAAAGGGAGCGUAGAUGGGUUGUUAAGUCAGUUGUGAAAGUUUGCGGCUCAACCGUAAAAUUGCAAUUGAUACUGGCAGUCUUGAGUACAGUUGAGGUAGGCGGAAUUCGUGGUGUAGCGGUGAAAUGCUUAGAUAUCACGAAGAACCCCGAUUGCGAAGGCAGCUUACUAAACUGUAACUGACAUUGAUGCUCGAAAGUGUGGGUAUCAAACAGGAUUAGAUACCCUUGUAGUC
rnacentral:rRNA from 1 species